rnacentral:rRNA from 1 species
GACGAACGCUGGCGGCGUGCUUAACACAUGCAAGUCGAACGGAAAGGCCCUGCUUUUGUGGGGUUCUCGAUUGGCGAACGGGUGAGUAACACGUGAGUAACCUGCCCUUGACUUUGGGAUAACUUCAGGAAACUGGGGCUCAUACCGGAUAGGAGAUCCUGCUGCAUGGUGGGGGUUGGAAAGUUUCGGCGGUUGGGGAUGGUCUGGCGGCUUAUCCGCUUGUUGGUGGAGUAGUGGCUUUCCAAGGCUGUGACGGGUAGCCGGCCUGAGAGGGUGACCGGCCACAUGGGGACUGAGAGACGGCGCAGACUGCUACGGGAGGCAGCAGGGGGGAAUAUUGCACAAUGGGCGGAAGUCUGAGGCAGCAACGCCGCGUGCGGGAUGACGGCCUUCUGGUUGUAAACCGCUGUCGCCUGUGACGAAGCGUGAGUGACGGUAAUGGGUAAAGAAGCACCGGCUAACUACGUG